CCUACGGGAGGCAGCAGUGAGGAAUAUUGGUCAAUGGACGAGAGUCUGAACCAGCCAAGUAGCGUGAAGGAUGACUGCCCUAUGGGUUGUAAACUUCUUUUAUAUGGGAAUAAAAUGUUCCACGUGUGGGAUUUUGUAUGUACCAUAUGAAUAAGGAUCGGCUAACUCCGUGCCAGCAGCCGCGGUAAUACGGAGGAUCCGAGCGUUAUCCGGAUUUAUUGGGUUUAAAGGGAGCGUAGGUGGAUUGUUAAGUCAGUUGUGAAAGUUUGCGGCUCAACCGUAGAAUUGCAGUUGAAACUGGCAGUCUUGAGUACAGUAGAGGUGGGCGGAAUGCGUGGUGUAGCGGUGAAAUGCUUAGAUAUCACGAAGAACUCCGAUUGCGAAGGCAGUUCACUGGACUGCAACUGACACUGAGGCUCGAAAGUGUGGGUAUCAAACAGGAUUAGAUACCCUAGUAGUC
rnacentral:rRNA from 1 species